UGCAGCCAUGCCGCGUGUGUGAAGAAGGCCUUCGGGUUGUAAAGCACUUUCAGCGAGGAGGAAAGGUUGUCGGUUAAUACCCGACAGCUGUGACGUUACUCGCAGAAGAAGCACCGGCUAACUCCGUGCCAGCAGCCGCGGUAAUACGGAGGGUGCGAGCGUUAAUCGGAAUUACUGGGCGUAAAGCGCAUGCAGGCGGCCAAGUCAGUCAGAUGUGAAAGCCCCGGGCUCAACCUGGGAAUUGCAUUUGAUACUGCUUGGCUAGAGUCCUUGAGAGGGGGGUAGAAUUUCAGGUGUAGCGGUGAAAUGCGUAGAGAUCUGAAGGAAUACCAGUGGCGAAGGCGGCCCCCUGGCAAGAGACUGACGCUCAGAUGCGAAAGCGUGGGGAGCAAACAGGAUUAGAUACCCUGGUAGUCCACGCCGUAAACGAUGUCUAUUAGGAGUCUGUGGCCUUGAGCUGUGGGUUCCAAAGCUAACGCAUUAAAUA
rnacentral:rRNA from 1 species